GUCAUUUUUGCAGUAUAUGUACUAAAACUGAGGCAAUGCAUUGAAAUUUAGCAUGAUCCCUGCGCAAGGAUGACAUUUAAAAUUAUGAAGCCUUCCUCAUUUUU